AUAAGACUGUGCUGAUGUCUGUUCUGGUAGACAUGCUUGUGGGAUCGCUGUCUCUGUUUACAUCUAAAUUCUGCUCUCCAUUGCUAACAUGCAACCCCCCCAUGCCUUCACUGAUAUGAGAAGAAUAGAUCAAAGAGAAGACUCAUGGUGUGACUGCAUCUGUCCAGGAGUUUAGCUUUCUCCCAGAAGACUCAGCAGAACAACAUGGUCUGCACAUCUCAUCAAUUUCUCAUUAGCGCUAACCAGGGAUUGUGUACUAAAGCACAAAUUUGGAGUGCAGGACAUUUCUGUCUGGAUAAGCAGCAU